rnacentral:rRNA from 1 species
UACGUAGGGCGCAAGCGUUGUCCGGAAUUAUUGGGCGUAAAGAGCUCGUAGGCGGCCAGUUGCGUCUGCUGUGAAAUCCCGGGGCUCAACCCCGGGCGUGCAGUGGAUACGGGCAGGCUAGAGGUAGGUAGGGGAGAAUGGAAUUCCCGGUGUAGCGGUGAAAUGCGCAGAUAUCGGGAGGAACACCGGUGGCGAAGGCGGUUCUCUGGGCCUUACCUGACGCUGAGGAGCGAAAGCCAGGGGAGCAAACGGG